UACGGAGGUGGCAAGCGUUGCUCGGAAUCACUGGGCGUAAAGGGCGCGUAGGUGGCGCUGUAAGUCGGGUGUGAAAUUUCGGAGCUUAACUCCGAAACUGCAUUCGAUACUGCGGUGCUUGAGGACUGGAGAGGAGACUGGAAUUCCUGGUGUAGCGGUGAAAUGCGCAGAUAUCAGGAGGAACACCCGUGGCGAAAGCGGCUCUCUGGGACGGUACUGACGCUGAGACGCGAAAGCGUGGGGAGCAAACAGG
rnacentral:rRNA from 1 species